rnacentral:rRNA from 1 species
GAUGAACGCUGGCUACAGGCUUAACACAUGCAAGUCGAGGGAAAACGACGGGGAAGCUUGCUUCCCCGGGCGUCGACCGGCGCACGGGUGAGUAACGCGUAUCCAACCUGCCUCUGACUGAGGGAUAACCCGUCGAAAGUCGGCCUAAUACCUCAUGGUAUCGUCUGCGGGCAUCCAACGACGAUUAAAGAUUUCAUCGGUCAGGGAUGGGGAUGCGUCUGAUUAGCUUGUUGGCGGGGUAACGGCCCACCAAGGCUACGAUCAGUAGGGGUUCUGAGAGGAAGGUCCCCCACAUUGGAACUGAGACACGGUCCAAACGCCUACAGGAGGCAGCAGUGAGGAAUAUUGGUCAAUGGGCGAGAGCCUGAACCAGCCAAGUAGCGUGCAGGAAGACGGCCCUAUGGGUUGUAAACUGCUUUUAUGCGGGGAUAAAGUGAGGGACGUGUCCCUCAUUGCAGGUACCGCAUGAAUAAGGACCGGCUAAUUCCGUG